rnacentral:lncRNA from 13 species
AGGGCUUACAUUAUUAUGGCUAUGUAAAUAUUAUUUAGUACUGAGCCAAAUAAGUACUAUACUUACAUCUAGUUUAUUAUACAAUGUUUUCCCCAGAAGUUAAUAACUGUCUUCUUUUUUCCCUGUGCUUAGUGUUCUGUGAACCUAUCACUAAUUUUCCUUGCAUUUUCUGACAGCUGUGUAAAUGCUUCUCACACAGUUUCCCCCAAGUUAGAGAUAUUAAAUAAUCUAGAAUUCUCCCACCUGACCCCUACUCCCAGCUUGGAGGCUUUCCUCCUAGAGUUCUCCAAACUCCCACAGUCUGCCUUGGUUGCUCUUCAGGCUCAUUGAACAGUUGUUUGGGGGUUCCUCUCCCAUGUUAUUCUGGGGUUUGUUUUCCACUCUCUCCUGGAUUCCAAUUUUGUUUUAUUUGUCUUAGUGCAUUUGUGUUGCUAUAGAGGAAUACCUGAGGCUGGGUGAUUUAUAAAGAAAAGACGUUUAUUUGGUCCACAGUUCUGCAAGCUGUACAAGAAGCAUGGUGCCAGCAUCUGCUUCUGUUGAGGACCUCAGGAAGCUUCCAAUCACGGUGGAAGAUGAAGGGGAGCAGGCAUCACAUGGCAAGAGGGAGAGCGAGCAAGAGGAAGGAGGCCGAGCUUGGCAAGAAUUUAGAUGCUAUCAGAAAUAUGAAAGUUUCUGUUGCAGCUGAAUUGCGUCCUAUACCUUCACCCCAACCCAAUCUGAACAGUGGCCUUAUAAGAAGAGGAAACUUGGACAUGGAGACACCAGGACCUGCAUAUAUAGAAGAAGGUCCCUAUACAGAUACAGCAAGAAAGCAGGUAUCUGCAAACCAAGGAGAAAGGCCUCAGGAGAAACCAAUUUGCCUACACCUUGAUCUUGAACUUUAGUCUCCACAACUGUAAGAAGAUAAAUUUCUGUUGUUUAAGCCCCACACAGUCUGUGAUGUUUUGUUGUGGCAGCCCUCACAAAUUAAUAUGGUUCAUUUUCCACCAUAUUUGAUUUGGAAUUUGGAUAUAACAAAGAAGAUCAUAAAAAUAGUAAGAAUGAGAUGCUUCUAAAAACCAACUUUUGCUAACAGUUGAAAAAUCAGAUAUUAGGUCAUCGUUGAGAAAAAUGACACAUACGGAAUCACAUUUGCCCCAUCACCUGUGAGCUGAAGGUUUAAGGUACUGAGUUGAGCUGAGGCUGGGCUUGCAGAGUCAGAACUUGGAGCCUCAGACUCUCUGUCCCCUUAGGGCUUGUCCUCAGUCUGUUGCCUCUGAAUCUGGCAGGGGGAGGACCCUGAAAUAGAAGGUCUUAAAUGGGAAGGGAAGAGUAGAUUGAGGGGUUUUCCUGGUGGCAGGUGUCCCUGAUGGGAAGUGAAUCGGGUUCAUUCUGC